GUGCUCGCUUUGGCAGCACAUACACUAAAAUUGGAACAAUACAGAGAAGAUUAGCUUAGUCUAGCACACAAGGCAGACACACAGAUUCAUGAAGCAUUCCAUAUUUUA